AUACAUUGAAUAAAAAAUAUUUUCUGCACAUUGUGCAGGAAAACACCUAGUAGUGACUAUAUAUGUUGUUAUGUGUACGAAGAAUAAUACUUGAAUAAAUAUGUCGUGUGCGAAUAUUAAUAUAUAAUUAAGUGUUACUUUUGUCUUGUUCCCCAUAUCAUAUGUUCAAAAAGAGCAGAUGGCGGAUUUAGUAUGUGAGAAUAUAAUUUCCCAAAAAAUUGGAUAGAACCUAAAUGAUAUAUAAAAGAUAUGUAUUAGUUCACAGUUGAAAAUAUAUGAUAUUUAACAUAUAGUAGUAUUAGAAUCUGAUGUAUAUCCGAGCUGAAAUUGGUUCGGUCUAUAAAAAAUUAGCCAAUCGAUUUUAAUUGAUAUCGACCUAACCCAAAUUAGUCUGGCCAAUUUAACCUAUAAUUAUCCUAUACGAUGUAAUGAUCAUCGAUAUAAGUGGAUAGACAUAUUCUUAUUACAGGGGGUGAUGGAAAUAUUCCUCAUGGAAAUUGUAAAUAAGAAAGGGAGAGAAACAGAGUGAAACAUGGCGAGAAGUUGAUGCAAUUAACUAUGCUAAAAAAGUUUGCAGACAAGUGUAUCAGGAACAAGCUUAGUCUGGUCAGAUUGAAGGGGAAAAAAGGCCCAAUCAUUGUUUUCGGAGGGCUAGUAGUUUGAAGAUUUGAGGAUCACUUAGAACAGAUUAAAUUUAAGGAGGAUGAACUAGCAGUCUAGCAUCAUGGAAAAGUGAUGGAGAAUUGACCAAAGCAUCCAACGAUCAAGCAUAGUGGCAAGAGUCAAUUUCCAAGGAUUCGAAGGGCUUAAUCAUCCUAUAAAUGUUGGUACCUGUGUAGACUGACUAUGUGGAGAUUAUUAUGAAGUUCGCGUAAGUGUGUUCAAGGCUCUCAUAUAUACAUUUUGAUACAUCAAAGACUAAAUCCACCCAUAUGCAUCAUUCGUCGUGUAUCAUUAAUUGCUGCAUAAGAAUCAGAAUAUUGUCAAUGGUGUGAAGCUGUACGUGGUGAAUAACCAUUUUCAUAUCCAAGAACAAGACUGAAUAAGCCUCUUAAUCCGAACAAGUAUAAGUACCAAAGACAUGGAAGAAUAAUAGCGCCAUGAAACAAGAGAUGGAAUCCAUUGUAAAAGUUAGAAUGAAUAAGAUGGGACAUAUAGGAUUUACAGGUAAACGAACCUGACACUACACAAGCAUAGGGACUUAAAAUCAUAUUUAUAACCAAAAACAAUAGCACAGUUUCUUUGACUAAAAAUAACACAAUCCAUAGCAGGAACAGCCUGUGUAACUGAAGAUAUGCCACUGAUUAAACUGCAAGACUAGUAUAAUAUGUACCAUUACAGAAACGCCAUAGAAGUUUAGUGAACAAAGAAACAUAGAGAGCUUCACAAUGUUCAAUUGGAGGCACAAGCUAUUCUUCAGCUAUCUGAUACAUUAUUGUAAUAUCAACUUUUUAUUUAUUUUUGAAUUGUUAUAUAUCAAACUUUUAGCAGAACUGGAUUCUCAAAGUGUAGACUUAAACGACACUAGUCACAGUAAUUAAUUUCAUUUAAGGACCAGUAAAGUCAAUGAUAAGUAAGAGGUCCAGUUUCAUUUAACUCAGCUGAAGUAACAA